AACGUAGGAGACAAACGUUAUCCGGAGUUACUGGGCGUAAAGGGCGUGUAGGUGGUUAUGUAAGUCUGGCGUGAAAUUUUUCGGCUUAACCGGGAAAGGUCGUCGGAUACUGCAAAACUAGAGGACGGUAGAGGCGUGUGGAAUUCCGGGUGUAGUGGUGAAAUGCGUAGAUAUCGGGAGGAACACCAGUGGCGAAGGCGGCGACCUGGGCAGAUACUGACGCUGAGGUGCGAAAGCGUGGGGAGCAAACAGG
rnacentral:rRNA from 1 species